GUGAAGAAAUAAACAGAUGG
rnacentral:siRNA from 1 species